AAUUCUCAACUUCAAUAGUUUGUAAUGAACAUUUGAAGCUUGGAUGUGGAGGUUUUGCUGGCAUCUUAGCAUGUUCGGCUCCUCUUAAAUGCAUUAGUGGAACCCAUUUGUUGGAUCAUCCUUGGUGUGAUAAUUAUCUACGCUUUGGUUGGUUUAAUGAACUUCUAUGAACUUUCAGCAUUUGCUGGUGUGGGUAUUGUAACUAUUGUUGCUUUAUCUGGUUCAUUAGAGUUGGGACAAUAUCUGCUCUCUAACUGUCUGUGUAUGCGGACAACUUCUUGAU
rnacentral:misc_RNA from 1 species